GCUGGGUGUGGUCGCGCAUGCCUGUAAUCCUAGCAACUCCGGAGGCUGAGGCAGGAAGAUCACAAGUUCAAAGCCAGCCUCAGCAAUUUAGUAAGGCUCUAAACAAUUUAGUGAGAUCCUGUCUCAA
rnacentral:sRNA from 1 species